GAAAGGUAAAAAUGGUCUGCAUUCCCAGGUACAAGAGGCACAGAGGCCACUACCAGUUGAACACGGGGACAAAUCUAUACUGUCAGACUACAUACUGAUAAGGUACUGGGACUGGAAGAAAUUGAGACUGUGUUGAAAGGAACUAUACCAAGUGCUACCAACAGCAACCGCCGUGAAGAUAGAAGAUCCCCCCUGUUGGAUACAUCUGAUUGACUGUAAACAGUUUGGAGAACCAAGAAAGG